rnacentral:lncRNA from 1 species
CCAUUUCCUCUUAUACCAUAAGUCAUUGCCUGCAGAUGUGUUUUCUCCAUUAGUUUGCAAAAGCUUCCUGAGAGUAGGUCUGUGCCUCAUUUAUUCUGGAAUCUCCCUGGCAUGAAGCACAGGGUUUAUCCUCAGUAGGCAUUCAACAAAUGUUUAAUUUCACUCAACAGCUCCUCUUACCACUGCCCCCACCUUAUCUGCAGGUGGCUAAGUACAAUCAGAACAAGUAGGUAUCAUAAGAUUUAGUCCAGAGUCAAUUUGGGAAGAAAUUACUUUAGUGAUAUGAAAAGAAACCAUGCUAUUUAGUCAGAAUACUUCUGAGAGUAUCCCCUGUCCAAGCAUUUGCUGAAUUUCUAUCUACUAAUUUUCAGGUGGAACAGUAUGGUUGCAGAGAGUCCAUUUGGACACAGAUACACUUUCAUGCAUUCAUGUCUUUAACAAUAAUUUGUGGCCCUACUGUGUUUGUUCACUAACUCCUUCGAACCUGCCAUAUAAGUUAUAUCUUUACUUUCCUUGUAAUUUGGGAGGUCCAAUUCUUCAUUAAGCUCACAUGCCUGAAACUAAUGAAGAAAAUAGCUCGUUAACCAGCUAGUAUAAAAGUAGCCACCAAAUCAACUCAAUCACCUGCCUUAAAUCAGCCCAGUACCCCAUCUUGAGCGGAGAAGCCCAUUCUGAAUCACAGUCAAGACAUUGAUGGAAAAACAGCUCCCUCUGGGGAUCAAAACCACGCUAGCCCCAAAUCCUCCUCCCCAGAGUUUUCCUCAUUGCUCACCCACUGAACCCAAAACAAACCAGAAGUGCUUAAAAUGAGGACGGGUAGCUCCGUGUACCAAUCAGAAUUUAAAACUGUAUCAAUUCCUGCUAUAGAAAGAGGCUUCUCCCCAGGACCAGGAUUCCACGAAGGCAGCCCUUUUCUAGAUGGAGAAAAUAGAACCUGAAGGCAGCCGUUUCCCUAAACUGCUCUCGCUCAUGUCUCUCAGAGAAAGGAAAUGAAGCAGUGAAAGCAUCCUCCCAAAAGGGACUUUUAAAUCCUUCUACCUGGGCUGAACUACAGAGAAAAGGAAGCUAUUCUCACAGAAAGAUCUAUGGGAUCACAGAGUGGAGGGGACCUGAGCCCCAUGUCAUGGGACAAGCCCUGGGAAGAUGGCACCAUUCCCAAGACACAUGAGUUCUAUCGUUUGCCACCAUUUCCACUGCCUGGACCAAAGUAGAUGCUCAAAGAGUAUUCCCCGAGUGAAAGGAGGAAUACAGCAUCGGCCCUCUCAAAGAACUCUCCAGGAAGACUUUCCUUCAUCAGCAGCAGGGAAAGCUAAUGAGGGUCAUAUCAUCCUGCCUCCCAGGUGAGGUCUGAGAUGUCUGCACUGUGCACCUCCGCAGGCACGUGGUGGGUACCACCGGCUUGGCUUUGCAGAGAUACCAUGUGCCCCAGGGAGAAUCUGGGCAGUGAAGUCAGCUCUCUGUCUUAGGGAGUCUCUCCCAGAAGGGCUGUUGUGCCAGGGGGAUUGGACUCUGCCGGCUUUGUUUCCUGCUUAGGACCACCAAGCUCGUGGUACCCCCAGGACUCUUGGAAUCCUGUCUAGGCAGCUUGGAGGGCUGUCUACGUGGCUUCUUGGACCUGAACCCUAACUGGACCUGUGCAUGGUUUUGCAGCCCAGAUGUGAAACAGGGAUCAUCCCACCUCACCAGCAAUCCCCCUUGUUUUAAACUGCAGUUAAUAACUGGCUGGGCUGAGGGAGCCCCCUUUAUCAUAGUUUACGUGCAGCCUACCCCCUGGAAUCUGAUAAGGUCUUUGGGUGCUGGCAGUACCAAUUUUUAUCCAUUAUUUUUUCUAUUACGGAUAAUUCCUUUCCACACUGGAGUCACCCAGAGGUUGGCUUGAGCCCAGCCACAUGAAGACAAAUGCCAGUGGUUUUGCCGGGUCCCGGGUGCCCUCUGUUUCAUUAAAGCAACAUAUUCGGGAUAUAUA